CGGGGGCAGGAGGUUCGACUCGAGCGAAGCGAGAGAACGUUGCGUCAGCAACGGCCCGCAGGGCGAGUCACGCAGUGGCGAGUCAUCCUCUAUCACCGACCA
rnacentral:sRNA from 2 species